rnacentral:rRNA from 1 species
UAUCUCUGUAGAGUCUGCAUAUCAAUAAGCGGAGGAAAAGAAACUAACAAGGAUUCCCCUAGUAACGGCGAGUGAAGCGGGAAGAGCUCAAAUUUGAAAUCUUAAAGGGUUUCCCUUUACGAAUUGUAGUUUAAAGAAGUGUUUUCUGUUGAGGUUUUGGUAAAAGUUCUUUGGAAUAGGACAUCAUAGAGGGUGAGAAUCCCGUAUUUGACCUUUUACUUUCAACUUUGUGAUACACUUUCUAAGAGUCGGAUUGUUUGGGAAUGCAGUCCAAAAUGGGUGGUAAAUUUCAUCUAAAGCUAAAUAUUGGCGAGAGACCGAUAGCGAACAAGUACCGUGAGGGAAAGAUGAAAAGAACUUUGAAAAGAGAGUUAAACAGUACGUGAAAUUGUCAAAAGGGAAGCGUUUGACACCAGUGUUGUUUUUCUGAAAAUCAAUUAAAGAACUGUUUAUGCUAAGUUGUUUAGACUUUAUCAGCUAACUGUCUAGUUUUGAGCUUUUCUUUAAUGCACUUUUCAGUUAACAAGUCAACAUCAAUUUCUUUUGUUGUAAAAAGGUCAUUGAGGAAGGUGGCUUGCGAUUCGGAUAAGUGUUUAUAGCCUCUUGCCUCUGCAGUCGGAGAGAUUGAGGUCUGCAGCGUAGAUCCUUCGGGGUAAAUAGCAUUUGUGCUAAGUUAUAGCCUUUUCAUAGACAACUUGUUGACUAUGAUCUGUCAUGUAGCUUACUCGCUUAUGCUAUUUUACCUACGCUUAGGAUGUUGACGAUCAGCUGAGCGCG